UUAAGCAGCUGUAUCACCCUCCAACUCACAACUGCCAACCCACUGAAGCUCAGCAGGUGUGAGCCUGGUCAGUACCUGGAUGGGAGACCUCCUGGGAAAGCUAAGACUGCUGCUGGAA
rnacentral:rRNA from 1 species